rnacentral:lncRNA from 1 species
UAUGAGCAGGAUAUCUGUAUGAUAUGCUAAAUUCCUAUGAGAAGGAUAUCUAUAUGAUAUGCAGAAUUCCUACGAGCAUGAUAUCUAUGUAGAAUUCUUAUACACUUGGUUUUUGCGUAUAAAAGUGCAAAAAUUCAGAGAAAAACACCUAUAGGCAGGAUAUCUACCCUUAUGCAUACAUGAAUGACCCUCCCCUCUUUUUGCUAAAACCCCAUAAGUUAUUACAGAAUUAAAUAAAAAAAAUUACAUCAGAACUUUAAGCUACAUCCAAGGAGCCUAAUUCAAACUCAAGGUCUAACAAUAUGAGAUGAAUCAACUGUCGGGAUCAGGUUCUAAAGCCUUUCUCUUAUCUGGAGUGUGUCAAAGUUCCACAGAGUUUCAAGGACUCUAGGCAAUGCUUACACCCAGAUAUAAUUACAUAGCUGAAUUAAAGUGCAGCGUGGAAGGUCAAACCUCAAACAUCCAAGUUCAGAGGGAACUCAAGGUCCCAAGGCAAGGCUCAUUGGAGGGGCAAAUAUUAGGAUCGAGGAACAAGUGUAAGUGCAGUAGAGGGGAAAUGGCAAGCUGGUGGUCAUGCCAAGCAUUUUUGGGGUGCUGGCACACCCCUAACCAGCUUGUUAUUUUCAAAUUGAGGAGUUAGGACCUGUUGCAGGUCAGGUUCAGACCUGGAUAGCCAUUUAAAAGCUGCCACACCAUAAAUUUCAACUCAGCAUACAUAGGGAAAUAGGUAUAUGGGAUUCAUAGUAAACGCAGAAUACAAAUAAAGAGUAGGCAAAGAGCAUGCUCACCAAUGAAGCAUACUGGCACACCCCUAACUUACUUGGGGUCAAAAUUCAGUUCAUGGACAACAAUUUAUGUUGACAUGACCUGAAUCCUCAUAGACACAUAGAGGGUAAUGGGAUAUGGGAGCAAAUGUUUACAAGAAAGUAAAGCAAGCAGUAGCACAUUGGCAUUAAGGUCAAGUUCUGCAGGAAAUAGUCAUGGAUAUAAAAAUUAUAAGUAAACACAUUGGGAUGAUGCUGUGAAUUGAAUAAAUAAAAGAGACAAGUAAAAGAAGGCAACAGUCCUGUGAAAGCCGAAGUGCGGACAAGAAAGUUCAGAAGAGGUUGUGAGAAUUAUAACUAUGAAGUCUGAAGUGUAUUCAGUUGUGUAUUGAAAGUGUGUUUGUGAAAAAGAGGCCGUGCUUUUUAUAAUGUAGAAGGAAAGCAGAAAUAAGUCAAGAGAAUAGUUUGAAAAUCGAUUGUCAAUCAAUUGCAUAAGGUUUCCCUUUAAUUAAGGGAUUCUGAUUUCAAACGGUAAAACUAAUUAAGGAACUAAAUUAAUCAAACACUUUGUGUAAGGUAGUAUAAUAGGGUUAAAUACUUAAAGGUCUAUUUAAGGACAAGGUCUUGACAAUACACGGUUUGUGAAAAUAAGGUAAAUGAAUUAGUUAACGACCGGGAAAUCAGAAGUCAAAGAUUUUAUAUGAAUAAAUCCAGUUAGAAAAGGUGAAGAAAAUGUUUUACUUGGGGAAAAUCAGUAACAAUCAACUCAAAUUCAAAAAAGGAUUAUGAUUUAAUCAUAAGUUUGAAAACCUUUUAAAAAAGGGUUGAACACACAUAUAAAGCAUACAUGCAUGCUUAAACAUGAAGGAAUUCGUCAUAUUAUUCAACAAAAGAGUCUAGUCUAAGAGAAUCACAAUUGUAUGCAAACAAAGAAGUUCAAACCUAGUUCAGAGACUCAGGACUUAGUCUAAAAAAGUCAAGGGUUCUAUAAACCCUAGUUUAAUCAUAGGAUUAAACCUUGGCAGAACCCCCAAAUUCUAGGGUUUCCUCCUCUAACCAAAUACGGAGACGAAGAGGCAAGUACUUGAAACAGGCUCAGAGAUCUCCUUUAGAGACUCAUGAGAAAACAAACAAGUACAGUAGAAGGUUCAAAGAAAACAGGGUGAAGAAACUGAUUCGAAGCAUAAUGAGAGUAGAUUAAACAGUAGAAGAAAACAUGCUUUAAACAGGUCUUUUAAAAAAACUUAAAAUAGGUAAAGUAGAGGAGAAAACAGUAAACACUUAAGCACACGGUAGAAGGAUACAACAUGAGAAGCAUAUUAGAAAAAUAGCAGAACAUAGUGGGAAAGCAUGUGAGAACAUAGCAUAGAAAACACAGAAGAAGAAAAGAAAUGGAACAUAGUAGAAGAACAUGUGUGAAAACAUAAGAACACAGUAGAAGAAUAUGCGUGGUAGAUAAGAAAACAUAAGAACAUAUUACAGACAAAUACAAACAAGGGAAAGGAGAAGAAAAGUCAGAGAAACAUUUUGAAAAUUCUAGAAAACCCUAAAUCGGGAAGAAGUAACUUUUGAAAGUAAUUUUGAAAGAAAAGUUGGGAAAACUAUUAAAAAAACUCAAAAAGAGCAGGUAUACACAUAUAUAUAACAAAAUUGGAAAAAAUCUAGAAUAGUUAUGAUUUAAGCAGAACCCUAAAGUGAGAAAGGCUUGGAAAAGGUCCGAUCUAAGUCAGAAAAGGCCCAGAAGACCAAGAGCCACCGGAGCAAGGCCGAAGAUGGUCAGAAUCCUCGAAUCGGUGAAGGCCUGAGUGAAGACCUUUGAAGUCUGUCCUCGAUCCUUUAAUCAUCAGGCAUGUAGGAGCCGUAGGAGGUGAGUAUAGGCUGUCCAUGGCUUGAGAAGCCAUGGAUUCCAGUGAGUUUAAAGGUGGAGAUGGUAGAAGGAGGCUAGGGUUUGAGGGGGUGUUGAGAGAGAAAUGAGAGAGAAUGCAUUCAGAAGCC